rnacentral:rRNA from 1 species
AUUGAACGCUAGCGGGAUGCUUUACACAUGCAAGUCGAACGAGUGGCGGACGGGUGCGCUAUAUAUCGGAACGUGCCCAGUAGCGGGGGAUAACUACUCGACAGUGUGGCUAAUACCACAUACUCUUGGAGCGGCCGAUAUGGGAUUAGCUAGUUUGUGGGGUAAAGGCUCACCAAGGCAACGACCCGUAGCUGGUUUGAGAGGACGACCAGCCACACGGGGACUGAGACACGGCCCAGGCUCCUACGGGAGGCAGCAGUGGGGAAUUUUGGACAAUGGGGGCAACCCUGAUCCAGCCAUCCCGCGUGUAUGAGAAGGCCUUCGGGUUGUAAAGUACUUUUGGCGGAGAAGCGGUAUCUGCAGAAUAAGCACCGGCUAACUACGUGCCAGCAGCCGCGGUAAUAC